GUCAUCCAUUCAAGGCAGCACAUAUGCUAAAAUUGAAAUGAUAUAGCGAAGAUUAGCAUGGCUCCUGUGCAAGUUUGAAACGCAAAUUUGUGAAGUAUUCCGUAUUUUU
ensembl:snRNA U6 U6 spliceosomal RNA